AUUGAACGCUGGCGGCAGGCCUAACACAUGCAAGUCGAGCGAGCGGCGGACAGGUGAGUAAUGUAUGGGGACUGCCCGAUAGAGGGGGAUAACUACUGGAAAAGGUGGCUAAUACCGCAUACUAUCGGAUAACCCAUAUGGGAUUAGCUAGUAGGUAAGGUAAUGGCUUACCUAGGCGACGAUCCCUAGCUGGUAUGAGAGGAUGAUCAGCAACACUGGGACUGAGACACGGCCCAGACCCUUACGGAGGCAGCAGUGGGAAAUAUUGCACAAUGGGCGCAAGCCUGCUGCAGCAAUGCCGCGUGUAUGAAGAAGGCCCUAGGGUUGUAAAGUACGUUCAGUCGGGAGGCGUUACCGACAGAAGAAGCACCGGCUAACUACGUGCCAGCAGCCGCGGUAAUAC
rnacentral:rRNA from 1 species